GUGCCAGCAGCCGCGGUAAUACGUAGGGUGCGAGCGUUAAUCGGAAUUACUGGGCGUAAAGCGUGCGCAGGCGGUUUGGCAAGUCAGAUGUGAAAUCCCCGAGCUCAACUUGGGAACUGCGUUUGAAACUGCCAGACUAGAAUAUGUCAGAGGGGGGUAGAAUUCCACGUGUAGCAGUGAAAUGCGUAGAGAUGUGGAGGAAUACCAAUGGCGAAGGCAGCCCCCUGGGAUAAUAUUGACGCUCAUGCACGAAAGCGUGGGGAGCAAACAAAGAAUAGAUUACCCUGGAAGUCC
rnacentral:rRNA from 1 species